rnacentral:rRNA from 1 species
UUUGUGGGUGUGUGCGUGAGGAAGAGCGUGGAGGAAGAGCCCGCAAUGACGAGGCGACUUCUCUUGACUGCAUGGCUGGUUUGCAGUCAGUCAGUCAAGUGAGGUGUGGUGCCAGUCAAGGCUGGCUUUUUCGGUUCGCCGGUUCGCUGUUUCACCUGCAAUGCCGGGUACCUGUGGAUGAAAGUCGGUGGUCAUGGAUUAGCACUGCCGUGUCAAGCCGACAACGUGGUGGUGGUGUCACCUUUGAGCCAUGUCUGUGGUGUGACAGCCACAGGUGUGGGCGGGCGUUGAGCAGCGCUGUGCACAUGCUGUGCAGUCUGCCGGCUUGUCUGCAUGCCUGUGGAUGCCCUUCAAAAGGUGUCCGUGGGCGGAUGGCACGUUUACUUUGAACAAAUUUGAGUGCUCAAAUCAGGCCGAUGUUGCCUGUAAAGUUUUGCAUGGAAUAAUGGAAUAGGACUUCGGUUCUAUUUCGUUGGUUUUCGGAUCCGAGGUAAUGAUCAAAAGAGACAGGCGGGGACGUUUGUAUGGCUGCGCUAGAGGUGAAAUUCAUGGACCGUAGCCAGACAGACUAAAGCGAAAGCAUUCGUCAAGCAUGUUUUCAUUGGCCAUGAGCGAAAGUCAGAGGCUCGAAGACGAUCAGAUACCGUCCUAGUCUGACCAUAAACGAUGUCACUAGCG